UGUUCAGUAUCUCCUGCGGCUUGGUGUGAAUCGCAUAGGCCUCACCACCAGUGCUUCAGGUUAGACAGCUCAGAAUGACAAACUGUGAUUGUAACACUCCUAAGAACCCCCUCCAGUGUAUACCUAUUAACAAAACCUUACAGAACUGUUUUAUCAAUAUGUGUUAACAAAGAAACAAAGAGCAAUUACAAGUCGUUUCCAUAAAUAUAAAUCACAAUGUAUGACUGCUAGACGAGAAGUAUAUAAUCAAUGAUAUCUGAUGUAAAGUUCAAUUAUGUAAAUACUAUGGACUGUACCCUCGUUAGCAACCAAUGUUACAAAAGAAACAAGGAAUUCUUAACUGACAGACUGUACCGACGUCACAAAACAACAACAACGAAUCUUUCAACUGAUCGACUACUGAGUUACCUGAUGGUCAUUAUAGCUGACAAGUGACCACCUGUAGAGUGUAUAUUCAAGGUACACUCACUCUCUUAUUGCAUCAUUAACAGGAGAGACGAAACUACAGGUACCGAGUGUAAAUCAUAAGGCAUGGUGUUCGGUAUCAACAUCAACGUGGUGGGCGGGGCGACGACGAGGGUGGCUACCGCCUUAGUACUGCCACUGGUGCGUCUGUUGCUGCUCUCUGUGGUGCCUCAGGCGAACAAGAACGCCUUCCUACCCCCGAGAACCAUCGCCACCCACUACGACUUUAUCAUCGUUGGUGGAGGUACAGCAGGCUGCGUGCUAGCGGCAAGACUAUCAGAGGUGCCAGAGUGGCGGGUGCUGCUGCUGGAGGCUGGAGGACCUCCACCCCCUGAGACCUCCAUCCCCGGCUUACUCUCCCUCAACUUCCUUCCUGGUAAUGACGUCGACUGGGACUACACCACUGUACCUCAGAGACACGGACUCAAGGCUUUCGUCAACAGGGCAGGUCGACUGAUCCAGGGCCGCACACUGGGAGGGUCGUCUGCUAUCAACGGUAUGUUCUACGUGAGGGGUAACAGGAGGGAUUUUGACAGAUGGGCGGCACAAGGUAACCCGGGCUGGGACUACCACUCUGUGUUCCCUUACUUCAUCAAGGCCCAAGACUACUGCGGACGAUACGUGGGCAAGGGAGACUCGCUCCAGGGUCACAGUGGUCCCCUUGGAGUGACCCCAGGUUCUGUAGGGCCCCUCACCAAGACCUUCUUCAAGGCAGGUCAUCAGCUGGGCUACCCUACCAUAGACAUCAACAGCCAUGGCGAGAUUGGCUUCUCGUUCUCGCAAUACACCAUCAAGGGCGGCGUCAGGAGCUCCACAGCAGAGGCUUACCUCCACCCAGCGUCCUUCAGACCCAACCUACACAUCCUCCACAGUGCCACCGUCUUGCAGGUGUUAUUCGACGAGCGCAAAAUGGCAAUUGGAGUAAAAUUUGAGUACAACGGAAAGGUGUUGAAGGUGUUGGCCAACAGGGAGGUGGUGAUGUCUGCAGGUGCCAUUGCCUCACCCAAGCUCCUAAUGCUCUCUGGGGUUGGCCCCAUCCACCACCUACAACACCACCAGAUAAGAGUGAUAGCUGAUGUACCUGGGGUUGGCCAGAACUUCCAUGAUCAUAUUGGAGUGAACGGCUUAGUCUGGACAAUUCCAGGAAACCCAUUAACAGGCACUUUACAGACAGUCAGUGCCUUCAAGCAAUACAUGCUCAGCAGACAAGGUCCUUUGACGACAGUGAAUGCAGAAUUUAUUAACGCAUGGAUAAGGGUGUUGGAAGGUGACCCAUACUGGCCUGACAUACAAAUUUUCUUCAGUAGUAUUGCUGCAACAGAAGAUAAAGGAAGCUUCUACCCUUCUGUGUGGGGGCAUGAUAGGCCAAUGUUUAAAGAAUACUUCUGGGAUAUAUAUGGGAGCAAUGCCUUUGGCAUGAGACCAACCCUUGUGCAGCCCAAGAGUCGGGGAUCCAUCACCCUCAAGUCCAAAGACCCAAAACAACAUCCAAAUAUUGAUCCAAACUACCUCAGUCACCCAGAUGAUGUGAGAGCCCUUGUAGAUGGAAUUAAGUUCACAGUGACACUUGGCAACGCAUCUGCCUUUACUCGCAGUGUGAAAGCAAAGUUCAAUAACAAGUCUUUCCCAGGGUGUGAGGAUAUAGCCUAUGGAACUGAUGCCUACUGGACCUGUUUCAUCAGACAUAUGGCCACUACUACUUACCAUUUUGCUGGUUCUUGCAAGAUGGCCCCCUCCUCAGAUCCAUUUGGUGUAGUGGACCACAACCUUAGGGUACGUGGGGUGUCGGGGCUACGUGUGGUGGAUGCUUCCAUGAUGCCUACUGUCACCACAGGUAACACCAAUGUCCCGACCAUCAUGAUUGCUGAGAAAGCCAGUGAUAUCAUAAAGCAACAGUGGGGGAUACUCCACUAGAGCUGGGUAAACUUAGAGCGCCCCGGAAUUAAACCACCGACUCCUGGAAGAGAAUUCGAGCACUGUAUCCACCCAACCACCAUGUUGCAAGUAAGCAAAUAAAUUCAGCAGUCAUGUCCUCAUUGAAAACAUAGGUAAUUUCAUUAACUCCCAGAUUGUGGAUUCUACACCAGGUUCAUUGUCUCCCAAGCCUUGGUGAUGACAAUGGACUUGGAAAUACAGUACACGUCCUGCAAAUUUUAAGUGUCAAUAUCUUCUGGAGGAUGAAACACUCAAGAGGCUGUAAUUUUCUAGUGGACUGUUUGUAGGAAUACUUUGUAUUUCUCAAACAAAUCCCUCCUGACACACCUGCCUUCUACUUUAACCACAAAAUUUGAUUCAUAUAUCAUUAAAUAUAUUAGAAUAUUGUAUAAAUAUAAAAAUUUCACAUAUUUAAAUUAUACACUGUACUCUGUAAAGUGCUUUGUGCCAUACUGUAUGAUGCUUCAUCUGACAAUUAAAAACUCAUUGUGUUACAUGCAUAUUUCCUGGUGAAUAAGCAUACAUUAGGAAAGUGUUUGUGAUCUGAAACUCUCCCUAAGCAUCUUAUGUAUUACUGUACAAUGGGAUCCCCUGAUAUACACAUGCCCAAAAAGAUAAGAUUUGUUUUAAUGAGCCACUUUUUUUACACCUCUUUUUCAUUAUGUGAAAAUAAACAUUCAUAUUAGAUCCACAUCAAUCAGCUAAAGUUCCCCUUUUCUAUCCAUAGAUUGUCUAUCUUUUACAUUACCCCACUUCCAUUAAAAUGUUCCUCUUUUUCAGAUUGAACCAUAUAUCCUCACUAUCAACCCUCUUUUAGCAUACACAUUUAUCAGUCUCUCACCAGUUCCAUUCAUUCCUGGCAGUCCAUAUUUCCAUAAAAAGCCUCCACUUCCACUUCACCAAAUUUUAAAUUAAAUCCCCUAUCACAACUACUCUCUUCCACACUUAAACUUUCAAUGUAGUUUUGCAGGUCUUCCCACAACCUUUCUUUCCUACUUCUCAUGUCUGAGCACACAUGUACUCAUAAUAACCCUCACUUCACUCACUAAUUUGACACAAUUAGCUGGGACUAAUUCUCUUGCAAGUUCACAUUCCAUCUAUCAACAACAGCACUUCUUUCUCUCUUACUAUUUUAGAUGCUCCUAAUUUUACUCUCAUCUUUCCUCCAUUUGUUUCAACUUUUCCAUAUUUUAAAUUGCUCUGACUUCACCCUUGCACAUACAAACACCCACAUUUUUAUUAACUUUUUCCAAGCCUCUGCCAUAGUAGGUGGCCAGAAACAAUAAUAAAUACAAACAUAUUCAUUCUUCAUUUCUAGUUAUACAUCAAUUCUUACUACUUUGGCAAUUGUGUUCUGCCAAGGUGUUCCCCUUACCACAAGUGGCCCUACAAAUCCAUCUGAACUAUUAAACACUGCUAUAAAGUGAAAUGUAAGUUAGGAAAAGCAAGAGUAGCUAGACCAGCUGGGUCAAAGAAUGGAUGGCAUCAAAGCCAGGUAUGAUAUGUAUGAUGGGUUGGGUCAAGAAAUGGGUGGUC